GAUGAACGCUAGCGGGAGGCUUAACACAUGCAAGUCGAGCGGGAUUAGCAGCGAUGCUAUGAAAGCGGCGCACGGGUGCGUAACGCGUAUGCAACCUGCCUUAUACAGUGGAAUAGCCCAUGGAAACGUGGAGUAACGUCCCAUAGGAUUCCAGUCUCGCAAGAGACCGUGAGUAAAUCUGAGGUGGUAUAAGAUGGGCAUGCGUCUGAUUAGGUAGUUGGUAGGGUAAUGGCCUACCAAGCCGACGAUCAGUAGGGGUGCUGAGAGGAUUACCCCCCACACUGGUACUGAGACCCGGACCAGACUCCUACGGGCGGCAGCAGUGAGGAAUAUUGGUCAAUGGCCGGAAGGCUGAACCAGCCAUACCGCGUGCAGGAUGACGGCCCUAUGGGUUGUAAACUGCUUUUGUACCUGAAGAAACCUGGUUACGUGUAGCCAGUUGCCGGUAAGGUAUGAAUAAGCAUCGGCUAACUCCGUGCCAGCCGCCGCCGUAACAC
rnacentral:rRNA from 1 species